rnacentral:tRNA from 1 species
UUAAGUAUAGUAUAAAUAUUACAACCUGCUUACACCAGGUAGAUCAUCUUGUGUACUUAAU